rnacentral:lncRNA from 1 species
CUACCAAAUAGGAAAGAACAAAAAAAGGAACAACACAGAAAGAAGAAAGCGCAAAGAAAAGAAUGGGGAAAUAGGAGAAGAGGAAAAAGAAAAAAAAAGAAAUCGAUAGGGAGAGAAGAGUAUAAGAGGCUGAGCACGGAGGGACCAAAAAGUACGAUCGCCGUUGUGGCGCAACGAAGACGUCAGAGGUUUGAGUUUUUAGUUUAUUCUCUCUCAGAUCAGAACAUUAUUUUAGUAUAACAACAACAAAUUUCAUUUUUUCAUUCAUAACUCAUUUUAUAUAUUACAUUUGGUAACAAAUACAAUUAUUAUAGAGUAAAGAUGAAAGAAAUACAAUAAUCUUUCUUCUGUUUGCUUUUCUCUCCUAUUACUCUUCUUAUUUUCUUCUUCUUAUUUUUAAGUAUUUUUGUUGGUAUCCGAUUUUUCUUGGUUGAUGGAUUUUUUUCUCUCAAUUUAUAGAUUAAAGUAACGAAACAUUGUGUCAUGAGACAAGAUUCAGUCUCGGUUUUUAUAUUGUUUUCGCAACAAAAACAAGUAACCUUUCCUAAGUAUAGAAACAUACAACUCAUCUUUCUGAUUGAGUAUAAAAGUAGUGAAGAUAAUGAAUUUUUAAGACAAAAGAAGAAAUAGGAAGGAAGCUGAAAAACUGGAGGGGAUUGAGCUAGAGUUAAAAUUUCGUUUUCUAUUUUAGAGAACAUGUAACUCGUCUUUUUGUUUGAGUAUAGAAUUAGUGAAAAUAAUAAACUUUUUAUGACAAACAAAAAAAAAACUGAAAUAAUGGAAUGGGCUAUGAAGUUGUAAAGUACUGUCUUUGCCUUUAUUUUAUUAUGUUUUUGGGCUAUAAAAUAUUUGUUAAGUCAAACAAAAAGAAAGAUAUUCACACAAUACAUGAGAGUGAGUAAUAUUUAUACUAUUUUUUUUUAAUAUUCUUUUUUUUUCAAUGCUGUUAAGAACAUGUCUUUGUCCAUUAUAUUUGAAUCAACGAGUAAACAAGAAACGACAAUAUUAACUUAUUAAUUAAUUGCAUAGGUGUUGAAUGAAUUCACAUGGAAAGCAAGAAAAAGUGAGCAAAAUAGUGUUCAAAGAUGUUCUCUCCGACAUUCUAAUGGUAUGGCUGUUGGACUUAAACGUUAAUCAUUCGCAUUAAUGGAGAAGAUCUUCUUGAAUUUGUGAAUGGUUCUUCGCAUUAAUGGAGAAGAUCUUCUUGAGUUUGUUAAUGGUUCAAGAAGAUGUUCUUUAUAUUUUUUUCUAUGUUAAUUCGAAUUGAAUUAUGAUGAUUGUUUUUGCUAAUUAGUUUAUCCGGAUAGAUCUUGUAUUUUCAUGAUGAUGUUUGCUUGUUUGUUAGUACUUGCUCGUUAUCUUUUGAUAGUAAGGUUGAGUAAAAAUAAACAUAUUACUUUAUUAUAUUUUUUUGGAAUUAUUUUCUACGGGACAAAAUUGAGGUUUUACA